rnacentral:rRNA from 1 species
AGAGUUUGAUCAUGGCUCAGAACGAACGCUGGCGGCAGGCCUCAAACAUGCAAGUCUAGGGGGCGUAGCAAUACGUCACCGGCGGACGGGUGCGUAACACGUGGGAAUAUACCUUUCGGUACGGAACAACUGAGGGAAACUUCAGCUAAUACCGUAUACGUCCUAACGGAGAAAGAUUUAUCGCCGAAGGAUUAGCCCGCGUUCGAUUAGCUAGUUGGUGAGGUAAUGGCUCACCAAGGCAACGAUCGAUAGCUGUUCUGAGAGGAAGAUCAGCCACAUUGGGACUGAGGCACGGCCCAAACUCCUACGGGAGGCAGCAGUGGGGAAUAUUGGACAAUGGGCGCAAGCCUGAUCCAGCCAUGCCGCGUGAGUGAUGAAGGCCCUAGGGUUGUAAAGCUCUUUUGUGCGGGAAGAUAAUGACGGUACCGCAAGAAUAAGCCCCGGCUAACUUCGUGCCAGCAGCCGCGGUAAUACGAAGGGGGCUAGCGUUGCUCGGAAUCACUGGGCGUAAAGGGUGCGUAGGCGGGUCUUUAAGUCAGGGGUGAAAUCCUGGAGCUCAACUCCAGAACUGCCUUUGAUACUGAAGAUCUUGAGUUCGGGAGAGGUGAGUGGAACUGCGAGUGUAGAGGUGAAAUUCGUAGAUAUUCGCAAGAACACCAGUGGCGAAGGCGGCUCACUGGCCCGAUACUGACGCUGAGGCACGAAAGCGUGGGGAGCAAACAGGAUUAGAUACCCUAGUAGUCC